rnacentral:rRNA from 1 species
UACGUAGGGUGCGAGCGUUGUCCGGAAUUAUUGGGCGUAAAGAGCUCGUAGGCGGUGUGUCACGUCGUUCGUGAAAACCUGCAGCUUAACUGUGGGCGUGCGGUCGAUACGGGCAUCACUGGAGUUCGGCAGGGGAGACUGGAAUUCCUGGUGUAGCGGUGAAAUGCGCAGAUAUCGGGAGGAACACCAGUGGCGAAGGCGGUUACCUGGAGCUUUGCUGACGCUGAUGCGCGAAAGCGUGGGGAGCGAGUCGG